AGGAAUUGGAUUCUACGUUUCAUCUUUCCUUACUAAAAACAAAAACAAAAAAGUAGCUAUCACUACGUACUCAUAUACAAUUUAUCAAUUCAAUCAACAUAUGAAUUAAUUUGCAUGUGAACGCUUAAACUGCAAGAAAAGUGCUUUGGCUAAACUAACUAGCAAUGAGCGCCAUUAUUAGAGAUCUCUGUCCCACAAUAUCACUGAUUUUGUUUAGGAAAAUUAUCAAACACUUGGUGCUCAACCACCAUCACGUCUUCUCUCUAUUAUACAAUUCGCUUCACAAGUUAAGUUCACUGUGCUCUUUUUAUCUUUUAUCAUUUUUUGCUUAAAAUGCACGCUCUCACAUCUCUUCUUUUUUUCAAUUACAUCUUCUCCAC
rnacentral:lncRNA from 1 species